rnacentral:rRNA from 1 species
UAAUAAGCGGAGGAAAAGAAACUAACAAGGAUUCCCCUAGUAACGGCGAGUGAAGCGGGAUGAGCUCAAGCUUAAAAUCUCUGUGCCAGUUUGGCAUGGCGAAUUGUAGUCUAUGGAGGCGCUGUCAGUGCGAUUGUUCGGGGUAAGUUCCUUGGAAGAGGACAGCAUCGAGGGUGAUACUCCCGUAUGUACCUGUUCAGUCGCGCGUACGACACGUUUUCUUCGAGUCGCGUUGUUUGGGAAUGCAGCGCAAAGUAGGUGGUAAAUUCCAUCUAAAGCUAAAUAUUGGUGCGAGACCGAUAGCGAACAAGUACCGUGAGGGAAAGAUGAAAAGAACUUUGAAAAGAGAGUUAAAGAGUACCUGAAACUGCUGAAAGGGAACCGAAUCGUUUCCAGUGUCUAUAAUCCAUGGUAUAUUUCAUUGGCGAGUGAGUGCGUGCAGCGUUUUGGAAGCGGUCUCCGCUCCUGUCGUUGUUGUGCAUUUGCUUGCUGGUGCCCUGUGCUGUGGUGGGACGUCAGAGUCAGUUUGUAUGUUGCGGGAAAUGGUUAUCAGGGAGGUAGGUCGCUUCGGUGGCUGUUAUAUCCUGGUAACUAGUCGUCGUGGCUGAGACUGAGGUGCCUACAACGCGCUUUCGAGUCUGCGGGCUUCUCGUGUGGCUGUUUGCUUUGAUAGCUUGCUAUGUUGGUGAAUAAGUCGUGCGAUUGAGACCUGUAGUAACUUGUUGCCGUUCGGGACUUUGACGAAAUGGAGCGAUCCGACCCGUCUUGAAACACGGACCAAGGAGUCUAACAUGUGUGCAAGUGUUAGGGUGUGGAAACCCCAGCGCGGAAUGAAAGUAAAGGACAGCCUAGCUGUCUGAGGUAGGAAUCCUUUGUUUACAGGGGAGGCACUAUCGACCGAUCAUGAACCUUCGUGGUGAAAGAUUUGAGUUUGAGCACAUAUGUUGGUACCCGAAAGAUGGUGAACUAUGCCUGAGUAGGGUGAAGCCAGGGGAAACUCUGGUGGAGGCUCGUAGCGAUUCUGACGUGCAAAUCGAUCGUCAAACUUGGGUAUAGGGGCGAAAGACUAAUCGAACCAUCUAGUAGCUGGUUCCCU